rnacentral:rRNA from 1 species
GACGAACGCUGGCGGCGCGCUUAACACAUGCAAGUCGAACGGAAAGGCCCGCCUUCCCUUGUGGAUUGCGGGUACUCGAGUGGCUAACGGGUGAGCAACACGCGAGUGAUCUGCCCCUAACCUGGGUAUAAGCCUGGGAAACUGGGUCUAAUUCCCGAUAGGACUGCAGGGUGGUGGCUGUGGUGGACAACGUUUUUUUAGUGCUUGGGGAUGAGCCGGCGGCCUAUCAGCUUGUUGGUGGGGUAAUGGCCCACCAAGGCGGCGACGGGUAGCCGGCGUGGGAGGGUGGACGGCAGAAGUGGGACUGCGAUACGGCCCAGACGCCUAGGGGGGGAAGCAGUGGGGAGUAUGGAGCGGUGGGCGGGAGACUGAUGCAGCGAGGCCGAGGCGGGGAUGACGGGCUUCGGAUUGUGGACUCCCUUCGGCCGCGAGGAAGCCACCUGGUUGGAGGGGUAGUGACGGUAGUGGUAGAAGAAGCACCGGCUAACUACGUG